rnacentral:lncRNA from 1 species
UUAUUGCCAACCUGUCUGCUGCCAACUGCUACAAGUCAGAGCACUUAAAGCGUCCGGAGAACUGGGCACUCGUUGAAAAGGCCAAAUACAUCUAUAUUGCUGACUUUUUCCUCACGGUGUCUCCUGAAUGUGAUCUUGAACCUGUAGCAUACGAGUUUUUAACAAGAUGGAGAUCUUCUUCUGGUACAGGAUUCGAAGGCAAUGCUAACCACACUAUAACUUAUCAUAGUGACUCUGCAACGGAUGUACAAGUUUGGUGUCGGGAAAGGGGAUACUUUGACCCACAAGGCCAUAUUAUGGUAGUAUUAUGCAAAACUCUUGAAGAAGCCUGAGUAGUGCUGAACUUUUUAUGCCUGUUCACAUCUGUUCUAGGUUGAGGAUCAAGGAUGGUGAGAGAGUAUUACUCUGUUUGAAGCAUGCCUUAAGAAUCGUAAACGCUGCUCAACAAAUAGCAAAUGGAACAAGAGGUAGCAGCGGAUAUGUGUAAUAAAAGAGCAAUUGUCCAUCAAGAUGCCAAUGGAGAGCUAAUGAAAGGUAUUUAGAAACAAAGAGAUUAUGGUCUCAAAAGUAGUGGCUGAAGUCGAAGUUUGAGCAUCUUGUGGAUUAGUAAUAAAGCCAAACAUGUGCAUGAUGGGGGUUUAUGCAAUGUGUAGUAUGUUUUGGUGUUUUCUUAUGUAAUUACCUAAUGUAUUGACCGUUGAGCUUGUAGCUUUUUCCUGUAUCCUCUAAUUUUCUAUUUACAUAUAUAUGAAUUGUCAUUAAAUAAAUAAUUUACGUCUUUUGUUUGGA